rnacentral:rRNA from 1 species
CUGGCUCAGAUUGAACGCUGGCGGCAGGCCUAACACAUGCAAGUCGGACGGUAGCACAGAGGAGCUUGCUCCUCGGGUGACGAGUGGCGGACGGGUGAGUAAUGUCUGGGGAUCUGCCCGAUAGAGGGGGAUAACCACUGGAAACGGUGGCUAAUACCGCAUAACGUCGCAAGACCAAAGAGGGGGACCUUCGGGCCUCUCACUAUCGGAUGAACCCAGAUGGGAUUAGCUAGUAGGCGGGGUAACGGCCCACCUAGGCGACGAUCCCUAGCUGGUCUGAGAGGAUGACCAGCCACACUGGAACUGAGACACGGUCCAGACUCCUACGGGAGGCAGCAGUGGGGAAUAUUGCACAAUGGGCGCAAGCCUGAUGCAGCCAUGCCGCGUGUAUGAAGAAGGCCUUCGGGUUGUAAAGUACUUUCAGCGGGGAGGAAGGCGAUGUGGUUAAUAACCGUAUCGAUUGACGUUACCCGCAGAAGAAGCACCGGCUAACUCCGUGCCAGCAGCCGCGGUAAUACGGAGGGUGCAAGCGUUAAUCGGAAUUACUGGGCGUAAAGCGCACGCAGGCGGUCUGUUAAGUCAGAUGUGAAAUCCCCGGGCUUAACCUGGGAACUGCAUUUGAAACUGGCAGGCUUGAGUCUCGUAGAGGGGGGUAGAAUUCCAGGUGUAGCGGUGAAAUGCGUAGAGAUCUGGAGGAAUACCGGUGGCGAAGGCGG